UGCGGCUGGAANACCUCCUUUCUAAGGAUGAUCCUUCAGAUCAGCUCACGCUAUCUAUCGGAUCGUUUUAGAAACAUUCAGGGGCCAACAGUUUCAGGAUUGUUGAGCUCCAUUGGCGGGAUUUCGCCGUCUUCGUUUCUCUUUCUUCGCGGACGAACACGCGCCAGGGGCUGAGCGCUGUGCGGUGCACCGACUAAGCGUCGCGUGCGCGCCGGCAUGUCUCUCGUGUUAGGGGCUUGUAGCUCAGUUGGUUAGAGCGCGCGCUUGAUAAGCGUGAGGUCGGAAGUUCAAGUCUUCCCAGGCCCACCAUUUUGAUCGAGUGCGGAGCAUUCGUCUUCUGGUACGGGGCCAUAGCUCAGCUGGGAGAGCGCGUGCUUUGCAAGCAUGAGGUCGUCGGUUCGAUCCCGUCUGGCUCCACCAGAUGGUUUGAUCACCAACGGCGUUACCGUCGUCCGCGAAACAUCACUUCGCACUCAUUGGUCCGGAUGGACGGUGACGUGCGUGUUUUCUGACAUCGUAAAGAGGAGAUCGAUCCGAGUUUGGAUCAAGCGAAGCAAUUCGUCUGAACCAUUCAUUAUCUCCGGGAUCAUUUCGGCGCUCGCGCAUCGCAGUUCAUCGCAAGAUGAGUGGGGUGAGCGGGUUGUAAAUGAUCUCUUUUAGCGAAGCUUGACCGCCUCGCUAUCGGGCCGAUCUUACGAAGCAAGCUGGUCUUUCUAGUCAAUGUCCGGCUGCGCAAUCGCAUUCAUCGAGGAUGCGUGCCUGGGACUUCGGUCUUCGGGCAGUUGCGCAGACAACAUUCUGCCGAGUGUGUGGACAUUGAUAAUGAGAGCAAUCAAGUGCCUUAAGGGUGUUCGGUGGAUGCCUUGGCGCUGAGAGGCGAUGAAGGACGUGCUACGCUGCGAUAAGCCGUGGGGAGCUGCGAAGAAGCUUUGAUCCGCGGAUU
rnacentral:misc_RNA from 2 species